rnacentral:rRNA from 1 species
UGGGGAAUCUUGCACAAUGGGGGCAACCCUGAUGCAGCGACGCCGCGUGAGCGAUGAAGCCCUUCGGGGCGUAAAGCUCUUUCGACCGGAACGAUAAUGACGGUACCGGGAGAAGAAGCUGCGGCUAACUACGUGCCAGCAGCCGCGGUAAUACGUAGGCAGCAAGCGUUGUUCGGAGUUACUGGGCGUAAAGAGUGCGUAGGCGGUUUUCUAAGUUCGGUGUGAAAUCUCCCGGCUUAACUGGGAGGGUGCGCCGAAGACUGGGAAGCUGGAGUGUGGGAAAGGCAGGCGGAAUUCCUGGUGUAGCGGUGAAAUGCGUAGAUAUCAGGAGGAACACCGGCGGUGUAGACGGCUUGCUAUACCAUAACUGACGCUGAGGCACGAAAGCGUGGGUAGCAAACA